UACGUAGGUGGCGAGCGUUGUCCGGAUUUACUGGGCGUAAAGAGCGCGCAGGCGGUGGGUCAAGUCGGAUGUGAAAGCCCCCGGCUCAACUGGGGAGGGUCAUUCGAUACUGAUCGACUCGAAGGCAGGAGAGGGAAGCGGAAUUCCCGGUGUAGUGGUGAAAUGCGUAGAUAUCGGGAGGAACACCAGUGGCGAAGGCGGCUUCCUGGCCUGUUCUUGACGCUGAGGCGCGAAAGCUAGGGGAGCAAACGGG
rnacentral:rRNA from 1 species